GGUUUUUGUCCCAACAAUUUAGUGAUAACGGGUCACAAGUUCUGUUAAUGCAUUUAGUUUGGUUUCCGCACUCUGUCGUUAAUUUGCCUUAUCCAAAAUUAUUGAAAGUCACACACAAUGUUAAUAAUCACACAAAGUUAGGCCGAGUUAGAAUUUGGGCAGUAAUUUUUUGGACAAUUAUGCCCCUGUAUAACUUAGAAAAUAGAAAAUUUUAAGCGGGGG
rnacentral:lncRNA from 1 species